AUAGAUUUCCUUCUUUCACUUUACCAAAAAAAAUUACAGAGCUGUCCAAUCCCUUUUUAUAUUCAUCUAAGAACCCCCCUGGAAGAAUCCAUGUGCUGAGCUCCAAUAAGAUGCCAUCAGAACAAUAAUGUUCUACACCAAGUUGAAGGAUAUUAUCCUUGAGUAACCAAGCAUCUCUUCUCCAUCCUAAGACCCAAAUGACAGUGUACAAGACACUGCCGUAAAAGUUUACCCUCUGCACCUGCCAAAUUUUAGAAUUCAUCUAAAGAAACUGCUCCUUGCUAUGGGGGAAAAUCCAAGCAUUUUAAUGCAUGACAGGAUCUGCCAGGAUGUACCAGUACUUAUCUUGGUCAGCAUGCUUUCGUACUUAUGUUUUCUAGAGCAACUACAGGUAUUCUACUAAGGAAGAAAAACAGGAAAUUAUCAACAACUACAAGGCAAACUGCAAAUUAAUUGAUUGCAAGCAUUUUAACUUUGGAAAUGGGAAUUGUCCAUUCGGGUCUAGUUGCUUCUACAAGAACAUCUGCCUAUUCAUCUGGCAUAUGAAGCCAGACUUGAUGGACCAGUCCAAUAUAGAUGGAUGUAUCCAUUUGAAAGAUUCAUGGGUGAUUCUAAAUGAGCAGUGAAAAAUAAGGCCAGUGUUGAAGGAUCCAUUUGCGCAUCUUAUAUACAUCACUAGACAACUCAUUUUUGUUCUCAUUAUUUAAACAACUUUAUGUUGUCGCAACGCAAGGAAUCAAAUUGCAAUUGAAACUGAAAGGCGUCCACCAAUGUUAUCAGUGUUUGACCAACAAGGUCGUCUUUCUGGGAAGGAGUUCAUUCACUAGUUAACUGAUGAUGAGAAAGACUCAGCCUAUGUUCAUGUGUUGAUUAACUAUGUCGAAUCUAAGUCGUACCUUGAUUCAUUCUUGCAAUCCCAGUCAAAUGCCUCUACUCGUAAUCUACAUGUAGAUUCUCCUACUUGGUUCCAGGAACAAGCAUGUUACAAAAGAGCCUACAAAUGUGAGAAACCAACACUUAAAGGAUUUAUUGUAUGGUCUGAUGAGUUACGUUGAAGAAAGACACACAUACUUUGUCAAUGCUUGCAAAUUUCAUACUCAAGCAUGGACUAAAGGGAAGAAAACGAUAAAUAAUGGGGUUCACGUAAAGGGCCUCACACAAGGAGCCGCAGAUGAUUUUUAUGGGGUCAUUCAACAUAUAUAUAUGUAAGCAAGUAGUAUUAUUUUAUUGUCAUUGGUUUGAUCCAACAAGUAGAGGAACAAAAGUUGAUCCUAAAUAUGGCACUGUGGAAAUUGGAAUGGAUAAAAGCUAUAAUCUGUUUGACCCAUUCAUCGGUGCACAUAAUGUAAGACAAGUGUAUUAUGUGCCUUAUCUAACAACCAAAAAGGACAAGCAUGAUUGGUGUGUUGCAAUUAAAAUGAAGAUAAGAGGUUACAUAGAAUUUGAUCAUGUACAAGAUGAUGUGCCUUACCAAGUAGAGAAAAUGUCACAUGUCAACGAAGUCAUUGAAGUUGAAAGUAUUUCUGGAUUGCAUGAUUUAAGAGGUGGUGUUGAAGAAGUAGACCCUGCUAAUUUGUUGACAAACGAAGAAGAAUCAAAUAAUUUGAAUGGAGAAUAAAACAAUAUUGAACAAGACAAUGAAGGGGAAUUAGAAGAUGACUUUAAAGUUUACAAUUUUGAACAAGAUUAGACAUUGAUGUUUGUUAGUCAGUUAUAAUGUUUGUUAUUAGUGACAUGUUUGUGUUGUUGUAAUACUUGAGCACUUUGUUAGUUUAUUUUAUUUUUGUUGUGAAA